rnacentral:rRNA from 1 species
UACGGGGGGGGCAAGCGUUGUUCGGAAUUACUGGGCGUAAAGGGCUCGCAGGCGGCCAACUAAGACAGACGUGAAAUCCCUCGGCUUAACCGGGGAACUGCGUCUGAUACUGGAUGGCUUGAGUUUGGGAGAGGGAUGCGGAAUUCCAGGUGUAGCGGUGAAAUGCGUAGAUAUCUGGAGGAACACCGGUGGCGAAGGCGGCAUCCUGGACCAACACUGACGCUGAGUGAGCGAAAGCCAGGGGAGCAAACGGG